AAUAUUGCACAAUGGGCGCAAGCCUGAUGCAGCGACGCCGCGUGGAGGAUGAAGGCUUUCGGGUCGUAAACUCCUGUCUGGGGGGAUGAAUACUGACAGUACCCCCGGAGGAAGCCCCGGCUAACUACGUGCCAGCAGCCGCGGUAAUACGUAGGGGGCGAGCGUUGUCCGGAAUUACUGGGCGUAAAGCGCGCGCAGGUGGCUUGUUAAGUCAGGUGUCAAAAUGCGGGGCUCAACCCCGUACCGCACUUGAAACUGGCAGGCUUGAGUGCAGGAGAGGGAAGUGGAAUUCCUAGUGUAGCGGUGAAAUGCGUAGAUAUUAGGAGGAACACCAGUGGCGAAGGCGACUUCCUGGACUGUAACUGACACUGAGGCGCGAAAGCUAGGGGAGCAAACA
rnacentral:rRNA from 1 species